rnacentral:rRNA from 1 species
UACGGGGGGGGCAAGCGUUAUUCGGAAUUACUGGGCGUAAAGGGCUCGUAGGCGGCCAACUAAGUCAGACGUGAAAUCCCUCGGCUUAACCGGGGAACUGCGUCUGAUACUGGAUGGCUAGAGAUUGGGAGAGGGAUGCGGAAUUCCAGGUGUAGCGGUGAAAUGCGUAGAUAUCUGGAGGAACACCGGUGGCGAAGGCGGCAUCCUGGACCAACACUGACGCUGAGGAGCGAAAGCCAGGGGAGCAAACGGG